rnacentral:rRNA from 1 species
UACGAAGGGUGCAAACGUUGCUCGGAAUUAUUGGGCGUAAAGCGCACGUAGGCGGCUUUGCAAGUCGGAUGUGAAAUCCCUCGGCUUAACCAAGGAAGUGCAUCCGAAACUGCAGAGCUUGAGUACUUAAGAGGAUCGCGGAAUUCCCGGUGUAGAGGUGAAAUUCGUAGAUAUCGGGAGAAACACCAGUGGCGAAGGCGGCGAUCUGGGAAGAUACUGACGCUGAGGUGCGAAAGCGUGGGGAGCAAACAGG